AUGACAGCAACCCCAAGUCCCCCCUGGGGAGGGAGGGAGAGCAGGGCCCAGCCUCAGCUCCAACUACCUCAUGCGACUCUCAGCCCAGAGGACAGUCCCCCAGGCCCAGGCAACGUCCUCUUCACUGUCAUUCCAGGGACAAAGACACAGGCAGGCCUCUCUGGAAUCGUGGUAACAUUUAUUCUGAGAACAGAACAGGUCUCCACUCACCUGACCCUGAGCUCGGCCCUGAGGGGUGAGUCAGGGUGGCACAGAGCAGGGUGCACCAAGCAAGCAGAGCAGCUGCUCUCCCCACCCAGCCUCCAGCCCCAGCCUGAAAGACCUCCAUCUUCACAUACCCAGGCCCCAGGACCUUCUGGGACCCAGAUCAUCACACAGCCAGGAGCCAGCCUGGCCCACCCAGAAGGGUGGGGAGCAAGGGCAGGACUGCUGAGCCAGUUGUUUGAGAAGGGGGCAGGGGACAGUGCCCAGCCCCCAGGCAGAAGUCCAUGCAGAUCACCCAGGUGGCCCUGGGUUCCCCCGUAGCCCAGGUGCACGUGGCUGAGCAAAGACCCACGUGUGGGCCCCGGAAUUCCCAGGCUGGCUUGUCUGGCCCUCGCCUCUCUAUCCGACUCUCGAAUCUUCCUUUCCAGUAGACAUUGAGAAGUGGCGAUUACAUGACCGUGUAUAGUGCAUACGCAUACAGAGAUACACAGAGAAAGGGUACUGUUUUGCCCUUAUUCAGCACUUGUUAGGAAGAGUGCUGACAAAUGAGAAUUAUUGGCCCCACUUUGCAGAAGGGGGAAAUCGAGGCACAGGAGGUUUAAGCAACUUGCUCCUGGUCACACACAAAGUCCUCACCCUAGGCUCAGGUUCAGGAAAAGGAAUCCUCUUGUUCUCCUUGUCCUUCAGUUCCCGGCCCCUCCCAUGUCCCAGGACCAGGACACAGGGGCAGAGUGGGCCGGAGUAAGGAGGCAAAGUCAGGGAUCCAACAGAUCCAGCCAGGACACUGCACCAAAGAGCCAGAUCUGGAGCCAAAAAGUCAGGUUUCCCUGAAGGAAUUCCCAGCAAGGCCACAGGAACUCCCCAUCUUGAAUCAACUGGACUUUUUCAUUUAUAUCACCUGGUCUGGAGCCCAAGAAGGACACAGAAGAGACCCAAAACUGGCCACAGCCCUAACACUCUAAGAACACAGCUGACGCCGGUUGGCAAAACAUCCCAGUACAAACCCCUGUCUUCUUCAUCCACCUCCAGACCUCCUCUGAGAAGGUAUGACCUCGCCCACGUCCCUCCCUAAGCAGAUCAAAAUAAAAUCAGAGGAUCACAGGAAGUGGAGUUUAAGAAGAAAAAAGGGUUCAGGCUUU
rnacentral:lncRNA from 1 species